rnacentral:misc_RNA from 1 species
GACCGGAUUAAUAUUUUAGGAGGAACAUGCUGGUUUCAUUACUAUGGGAUAAAACACAGCAUCGAUUAACUCAACCAGGCCAGUAUAUUAGAUCAGAAUCACAACACUGGAUGGUUGUGAAUUUUCUACCCCCCAACCUUUUGAGGUUCAUUUUCUAAAUAUUCUGGUGUGAUUUCAAAUCUUAUUAUUAUCAUAAGCUUUAGUUCCUUGUGAAUGGUUCCUU